GCGCUCACAAGGCAACACAGAUGAGGGUGAGGACUCUGGCUGACUGUAAAGUGAAGCUAUUAUUGCAGCUGAGAUAAGAUCUGCAUCUGAUGGAGGCUGUAGUUGGUUCAGGGAGGAAACUCUGAUGGAGCACGGAGAGAUGUUUGUAGAGACUGAACACGAGGAGUUUAUAAAAUAACCUUUUAUUUUUAUGGAUGUAAACAUGACAUUCUACAGCAGCGACUGAAAAAAGAAGAGAUCAGCAGCUUCAGGCUUUUUAUCUGACAUCUGCAGAAUGAAAUCAGAUCCAGAGUCAGCAGAUCUCCCUCCUGAAGCUCCUCUCUGACUAAAAUGGGAGUGGAGAAUUUGUUAACAUCAGUGACUCGUUGAUGUCAGGACAGUUUUAACUCUAAUAAUUUACAGUUUUAAGUAGAAAAAAACAUCAGUGCUUCUGGAAGCUUUCACAUUUGGAUGAGGAAUCGGAUUUAAUGAGAAAAUUCUACUAAAAUCUACAGUUUCUGAUCUGUAGAUGUGAAGGUUAGUCCAGGACGUCCUCUAAUGAAUUCUAGAUGUUCAAACUGGUCUCCAAGUCAAAAUCGUCUAUUAUUUCUCUGUUUGUUAGCCGUAAAGCAGUGAUUAAAUCAGUGAUACAUGUUUACUAGCUCAAUGGAUCCAACAGAAAGAACCCCAGUAGUAUUAUGGGCACCAUUGCUACGGUAACCAGCAACAUGGCCUCCAAUAAGCUGGCAAACAGCAGUAAAAGAAAACCCCGCCAUAAAUCUGAAGAGAGAGCGCAGCGGUUUUAUCGCUAGGUGUACGCUGAUGGCCAUUGGAUGAGAGAGGUUUGAUGGUUUUCUGUUGCCAUGGUAACACAAUGUUCUGAGGACAACGGGAGGCUAAAGUUGGAGAAACAUGCCGUGGUAUAAACAGAGCAUUUAACGUAUCAGAGAGUGAUUCCUUUAAGGAGCUUAGAGGCUGUUACAGUGCAAACAGCCUGCAGGGAGAUGUUAGAAGCAUUGGUUUUUAGUCCAAUCAAUAAUAAAAAUAGUCAGUUUACCAGAAGAUUCACGACAAAGCAAACACAGAUGUGUUCCUUCAUCACAUCCAGAAUAAACCCCAGCAGCAGACCUCUUCAAAGUCCUCCAUGAAGUCCAGUGGAUCCAUGAGAACAUCAACAGCAUUCAGUUUGAAGCCUCCAUCCUUGCUCAUCUGUGGAAACCUCUCCACCAGAUCACUGCUGUUUCUGCUCUGACUGACUGGAGGGACGCUUUGUUAAACCACUGUUUACAGGAAUAUUUUCACUGAAAGCUAAACUUAAAAACCAUUUUCAGGGUUCAGUAUCUCCAGAAAUAAAACUCCUACAGCCGUUUAACGUGGUGAGGACUCAGACUGGAUAGUUUCCAUCAGAUUUUAAUGAGUUAAUGGAUCCAGUAGAGGGCAUAUUUUUAAUUAUUGGGCCUUGAAAGUGGAAAAAAAAACAGUGUUAACUUUUUAAAUCUUUGUUAGUCUAGUGUCUCUAGAAAGUUCCUAUAUGUGUAUAUAAAUAAAUGGAUCCAUGUUUCUACUAAAAUCCAGUCUUUGGUCCACAUUUCUCCAACUGUAGAGGCUCUAACAUCAGUAGAACUUGAUGGUUAAAGUUUAACCAGACAAGAUUCUAGUUCCAGGUCACAAAUGUCUAAUAAUUGUCCUUAAUGACUUGAAAAGCGUCCAAAAUGCCUUGAACUUCUGCAAAGUGAUUCUAAAAUGUCUAAAUCUGGUCUUAAAAUUGUUCAAAACUGUUAAAAAUUACUUGAAAUGUAUCUAAAGUCAUCCUGUUGUCCUGAAUUUGAACUUGAGCUAUGGGGACAGUAUAGCUCAGUGGGUAGAGUGGCCGUCUUGAAACCGAAGGGUUGCAGUUCGAUCCCCCCGGCCCGUCGUGCUCAUGUCAAGGUGUCCCUGAGCAAGACACUGAACCCCUAAUUGUAAUGGUUAGCGCCUUGCAUGGCAGCUCCUGCCAUCAGUGUGUGAAUGGGUGAAUGUGACAUAUCAUGUAAAGCGCUUUGGAUAAAAGUGCUAUAUAAAUACAACCAUUUACCAUUUUAACUGAAUCACACACAGAUGGCAGAUGUUUCUGUCUUUGUGUCUCAUUUGGAGGACGUCCAUCUAAAAACUUUAAUCCAGACCAGUCAGAGACCUGAAACUCUGCAGCUCCUCACACUUUUGCUCAGUUUGUCUCUUUGAAUCUGAGAGAUGAAUCUCUGUCUCUCAGAAUUAGAUCAUCCUAAAUGUGACUCCGCUGCUCCACAGGAAGCUCUGAAUGACGGCAGUCAGCUGAUCUGUAGGACGUCCAGGUUUCAGACCAGAGCUUCAGUGAUCUAUAGGGCUGGCCCGAAUAGUGGUUUCUGGCCUCCGAAUAUUCGGGCCCUAUUAAAGACAAAUAUCCAAAUAUUCGUUCCGCCCCCUAACGGGGGGAGGGGAAUUCAGGUCCGUUCAUCUGGUCUCACGGGUCCAAAUUUUGCCUUCGUUUUGUCAUCAGUUAAACUGAAGAAUUCCCAAACAGCAGAGGUCUUCAGCAUCUUGUCUUGUGUUUAUGCAGCGAAGUGAAGCGUGACGUCAGAGUCUGCAGCCACCCGGCCAUUCUGGUGGUGGUAAGAAACAGGAAUGGAUGAGCCGAGAUGAGCCGAUGAACACGGCGGGAUGAGUGCAGGGAAGAGACGAGCUCCGAAUAUUUUCGUCUGUAAGGAGGAGGGGGUGAUCACAUAGACAUAUGUGUAUAUGUUUAUGUGAUCACACCACGGGAUGAGCAAAUUUGAGCCGAUGUGGGCCGAAGGCGGAGGGCAGACAGUAGCGCCGCAUAUUCGUUCCACCUAGUAAUAUCCGAUUCAGAUACCAAAAUUAAUAUCCGGAUACCGCCGUAACGAACGAAUAUUCGGAUACUCGGGAUAUUCGGGUCCAGCCCUAGUGAUCUGAGGACAUUUUCCUGGAGUCUGUAAGAAGCUGCUGUCAAAACCUCGUUAUCAGGAGCUGAUGGACAGAUUAAAGCUUCCAGGAGUGGACUGAAAGAGACGGAGUGGUUUAGAUGGAAGUAUAACUACUACUGGAGGUUAUCUCCAGUGGACAUCAGGUCUCCAGUCUCUCUGAACCUGCCUCUGAUCGUCGUACGGCCGUCGUACCGUAACGAGGCUGAUUAUCCUCCAUCAUUCUCACAGGAAGCAGGAAACGCUGUGACCUUGGCGUGAUGUCUGAUCUCUGAGCUGCUGCUUUAAUUCAGCUCAUUUAUCUGCAGUUAAUCCACAGCCGGGUGCGAGUGAGUUUAAUCUGAUCUGGAGACUAACAGGGACAGAAACACGACUAAAUAAUAAAAAAUAAAAAUAAAAUGACAGAAGAAAUUUAACAGAAUUAAAUGUGAACUCUGAUCAUAACUUCUACUUCUUUUUUGACUUAUUGCAUUGAAAACAUGCUUAGAAAAGCCAAACACAUGAAUGCGAGUUGAUUUUUUAAUAGCUUAUAUCUGGAUUUUUGUAGAUUUAGUAAAUUUCUGUGUUUUGUGCUUUGGAAUGGACCGUACCAUUACAUCCUACGGGGGACUCUAAAACCAGGAUUAAACCAUUCAUAAGAGCCAGAAACAGAAAUAAUCGCCAAAUUUCAAAAGUACAAGAAUAACAGCACUUACGGGCAGGCCUAUAAGGUACAGGCAAUUUCCGCCCGAAAUUUCUACUGAAGAUGUACGGAAAGUAAAUUGAAUGCUGUUCUUGAACUGUUUGGAGUACAGGCGUGGUUAUGGUCUCAUUUGAAAGCUGACAACCUGAAUUUUCACCCAGUGCAGUCAGAAUUAUUCUAAGUGCUACUGGCACAGAGUAUUUUAUGUUGAAAGACACUGAAUUAGGAUGAAUUUUAUUCUCGCCUAAAUUUUUUCCCUAAUAAAACACCUAAAAGUAAGUGUGGCAGCACUGUGAGAGCUUGAAAACACAAAAAGGCAACAGCCUGGGGUCUUACAUAGUUCAGGUCAAAAUUUCAGAGCAAUACUACAAGAAAUGAGUGUUUCACACAUGUAUUUGUAGAGAUAUGCACAGGCGUUGUACAUUCUGUACACCCUCUGUACACCCUGGGCACAAUGGUAUAUUUUCGUUUUUCAGUCCAUUUUGAAGUUAUUUUCACUCCAAAAACUCAUAAACAACUCAAAAAACACUGAAUAAUCAGCUGCAGUGAGGAGCACUCCAGUGGCAGACCGUCUCCCCAGCUGCAGACACACAGAGCAGCAGGGGAGGGGGGAGAGGUGUGAAAAGGUGCUAUUCAGCCGGCUCAUUGGCUACAAGACCUGUCAGUCAAAAGUUUCCUCCGACGUGAUUUGCUCACGGUUACUAUGGAAACAAGUCCCGUCCAAUUUUGUCACCAGCGACGACGGUUGGCUGUUAGGCUCAAUGAUGUAAAUAUACCGAGACCGCUCACUGGCCGCUGAGAGGCGGCAAAUAGGAGCUGACUUCCGGUAGUGGCAAGAUGUGAUGUCAGAAUGGAACGCCAGCACGGUAUGUGACUUUGUGUUUCGUGAUUUACCAAGGUACAGUAAACUUCUGUGUUGGAAUCAAGUCACAAUGCUUGAAAUACGUUGAGAACACCAGACCAGGAGGCCGUAGACCAGCACUGGCUGGGUUUUUCAGUGACUGCAGCUGAGCAGACUCUCCUCAGGAGAGUCCCCAGUUCGCUGUCAUGCUCAUGGCUCACCAUUCCCCCUGUGCCUGUGGUCUCACUCUGACCUGUGACGGGUGACAAGGCUAUUUUUGUCAUCAGAAAAUAUGUGUUAAUGAACUAGAAAUCUGUUUGAGAAGGUGAGCAGCACGGCAUGAUCAUAUCUGACACUGACAGUGCAUACGUCGCUGUAUAGCACUUAGCAGUUAGCACUUCUGCUAGCUCCUUCAAUGCUACCAGUUUUGUGAUUCCUUCUCUGGAAUGUAAGUGAAAGGAAACAUGCUGACACUCACCUUGCAAUCAUCACAUCAUGAACCUGUUAAUGUAAGUGUCUCUGUUGUUAUGGUUUCAGGUGGGUGUGGCUAAUAUCUGACCAUGGUGAAGUCGUGUGCUUCCAUCUCCUGCACUAAUCGAUUUGUGCAUGGCUGUAAUAUUUCCUUUCAUAAGUUUCCCAAGCAGUCCAAGGACAGCACACUGAGAGAGCAAUGGAUACAGGCCAUCAGUAGAGAAGCGGUGGGGACCAAGAGGAGAUGAUCAUAAUUAUGUCUGCAGCAACCAUUUCAGGGAGGAGGACUUCAUCCUCUCAAAACAUGCUCAACACAAGCUUCUCAGGCCAGGAGCUGUACCAUCCCUCAGUUUGGGGAAACCAGAGAAAAAGGUUAUGUUCUUUAAUUGUUAAUGGUUGCUCAUUAUUUCAAUUUAGUUCUUUACUUUUCUUGUCAAUUUGUGUGGCUAUGAAAAUGUAAAUUUGACGAACAUCAAGCUACAGGGAGUGUCUGUGAGGAAGUCCUUUACUAAAACAGUUCUAUUUAGAAAUCAGUGACUUUCCAAUAUCCUUAUUAUUUCCAGCAAUGCUUAUAAAUUCCUGUAUUUUGUGCAAAAACUCCUGGAUAUUUUGAAGCCUUUUGACGCACUGAAAAUUAGUAAUUUGUUCACUUUGUGAAAAUUAUGUAGGAAAGUACACUUUUGGUGAGAUUGUUAAAAAGCCAUGCAUCUCAUAUCGUCAAACUGCUUUUCUUGAAACUAUUUAGGCUAUUUCUGGGAAAACAGGCUACUUCAUAAGUUUCAAACUGAAACAUUUUGUUUUUGCCCUAAAGCUGGCGUUUUAUAGCAAAUUGUUCAUGGACUUUUAUUAUGAAAUAUAUAUUUCCUACAAUACUACUAUAUUUUCUCAGAGAAGACUUUUAUUUUGUCAUAUUUCUGUCAAGUGCACUUGAUACACUGUAAAUAUUUUAUUGGAACACGGAUAUUUGCAACUGAACCUACAAGUGGUGUAGCUGUUGUAAUGCAAUUUAUCAACACAAACAUUUGUCUGGGGGGUGUAUUUUAUAUUUUUUGUUAACAAGUUGGAGCAGUAUUCUGUUGUAAAAAUAAAUAAAUACUUUCAAUGGUUUCCUUC